AGAGUUUGAUCCUGGCUCAGGAUGAACGCUGGCGGUAUGCUUAACACAUGCAAGUCGAACGGUCUCUUCGGAGAUAGUGGCGGACGGGUGAGUAACGCGUAAGAAUCUACCUAUAGGUUCGGGACAACAGUUAGAAAUGACUGCUAAUACCGGAUAUGCCUUCGGGUGAAAGUUUUAAUGCCUGUAGAUGAGCUUGCGUCCGAUUAGCUAGAUGGAGUGGUAACGGCACACCAUGGCGACGAUCGGUAACUGGUCUGAGAGGAUGACCAGUCACACUGGAACUGAGACACGGUCCAGACUCCUACGGGAGGCAGCAGUGGGGAAUUUUCCGCAAUGGGCGAAAGCCUGACGGAGCAAUACCGCGUGAGGGACGAAGGUCUGUGGAUUGUAAACCUCUUUUGUUAGGGAAGAUAAUGACGGUACCUAACGAAUAAGCAUCGGCUAACUCCGUGCCAGCAGCCGCGGUAAGACGGAGGAUGCAAGCGUUAUCCGGAAUUAUUGGGCGUAAAGCGUACGUAGGCUGUUAGAUAAGUCUGUUGUCAAAGAGCGAGGCUUAACCUCGUAAAGGCAAUGGAAACUGUCUGACUAGAGAGAGAAAGGGGCAGGAGGAAUUCCAGGUGUAGCGGUGAAAUGCGUAGAUAUCUGGAAGAACACCAGUGGCGAAAGCGUCCUGCUGGAUCUCAACUGACGCUGAAGUACGAAAGCUAGGGGAGCGAAUGGGAUUAGAUACCCCAGUAGUCCUAGCCGUAAACGAUGGGUACUAGGUGUUGGCCGUAUCGACCCGGUCAGUGCCGUAGCUAACGCGUUAAGUACCCCGCCUGGGGAGUACGGUCGCAAGAUUGAAACUCAAAGGAAUUGACGGGGGCCCGCACAAGCGGUGGAGUAUGUGGUUUAAUU
rnacentral:rRNA from 1 species